rnacentral:rRNA from 1 species
UACGUAGGUGGCAAGCGUUGUCCGGAUUUAUUGGGUUUAAAGGGUGCGUAGGCGGUCUUUUAAGUCAGUGCUGAAAUAUCCCGGCUUAACCGGGAGGGUGGCAUUGAUACUGAAGGACUUGAGUACAGUCGAGGUAGGCGGAAUUGACGGUGUAGCGGUGAAAUGCUUAGAUAUCGUCAAGAACACCGAUAGUGUAGACAGCUUACUAGGCUGAAACUGACGCUGAGGCACGAAAAGUGUGGGGAUCAAACAGG